UACAAAGGAGACCAGUGUUAUUCAUCUUUAUUAGGUUUAAAGGGUACCUAGACAGCAUAAUAAACCAGUAAAAGGUUUAAAUAUGCUAGAGUUUCAUAUGGGAGGAUAAUUAAGUAUCGGGUAAGUAGAGAUGAAAUUUUUGAUAGACCCGAGACACUGGUAAAGGCGAAAGCAGACCUCUGUGAAAAACUGACGUUGAGGGACGAAGGCAUUAUUUAAACAAACAGG
rnacentral:rRNA from 1 species